AGAGUUUGAUUUGGCUCAGAGCGAACGCUGGCGGCAGGCUUAACACAUGCAAGUCGAGCGGGCGUAGCAAUACGUCAGCGGCAGACGGGUGAGUAACGCGUGGGAACGUACCUUUUGGUUCGGAACAACACAGGGAAACUUGUGCUAAUACCGGAUAAGCCCUUACGGGGAAAGAUUUAUCGCCGAAAGAUCGGCCCGCGUCUGAUUAGCUAGUUGGUGAGGUAACGGCUCACCAAGGCGACGAUCAGUAGCUGGUCUGAGAGGAUGAUCAGCCACAUUGGGACUGAGACACGGCCCAAACUCCUACGGGAGGCAGCAGUGGGGAAUAUUGGACAAUGGGCGCAAGCCUGAUCCAGCCAUGCCGCGUGAGUGAUGAAGGCCCUAGGGUUGUAAAGCUCUUUUGUGCGGGAAGAUAAUGACGGUACCGCAAGAAUAAGCCCCGGCUAACUUCGUGCCAGCAGCCGCGGUAAUACA
rnacentral:rRNA from 1 species